UACAGCAAGCGGGCUCCUGUUGUUACUUCCGGCCGAAAAUGUCGUAACUUCCAAUUCGAUCGGAAGGGAAGUCAUGGACGGAGUGAAGCCGGACAAGGGUGGAGAGGCACGCGAGAAAGGGAGAAAGCGACUUCACAGCCCGCGAUAUCCUGUUGUUUCAUCCGAUCAAAAUGUCAGAACUUCUGAUUCGACCAGGGAGGGACGGCGUCGGAGGGGACGAAGAAGCCGGAGAAGCGCCCUAACUGGAGAAAGUUGCCUUCACUGCGAGCGGCUUCCGGCGUUGCUUUCGCACGAAAUGUCGUAACUUAUGAUCAAGCUCGAAGGGAACGUCGUCGAAGGAGCGGUCGAACAGCACAAAGGAGCACCCGAUAGGGAGAAAGUUGCUUCUACAGUCAGCGAGCUCCCGUCUGUUGCUUCCGAUUCGACCCAAAGGGAGCUUUGUCGAAGGAGCUUCGUCAAACAGCCGCGAAAGAGUCAAAGAAGCGCGUGAGGGAGAGAGAGAGAGAGAGAGAGUGGGAUCGCGAAAGAGACCGAAGGCCUCGUCUCUUCGGUCAUUUAAUGACGCGAGCGGGUGAGAUUGUGGGGAGAGAGGCGAAGACGUGCGAAGAACUGACGUUCAAACGUGCGCGGGAUGGCGACGACAGGACUUGUAAUCAAUAUAUUGGAAUGAAAAGGCAUUGGCGCGCAGUAGUGAGCAGAAGAUGUCAAAAUUUUUAAAUUCUAUCAUAGAAGGAUUUAUGGAUAUUACUAUUGAGGAAUUGCUUAGUAGAAAGAUGACUGAUCUGACAAAAGAAAUAUAUGCAUGCCUACAUGCAAUGCAAGUUGAGAUGCAAUGAUAGAUGCAAGCUAAAAUACAGAGCUUCAUGGAGCAACAACAUCAUCACCAACAAGAGUGAGUGGCUGAGGAGAGGAAAAUGAUAUAGAGGAUUUGUUUUAUAUUUUUUUUGUUUUGCUUAAUAUAAAUUUGGAGUGAUAAAACCAAUUGAAUAAUCAAAGUUGUAAUUUUUAGAUAAUUUAAUUACAUUUAAAAUUA